CCUACGGGUGGCAGCAGUGAGGAAUAUUGGUCAAUGGUCGCAAGACUGAACCAGCCAAGCCGCGUGCGGGAUGACGGUACAGAGUAUCGUAAACCUCUUUUGUCAGGGAACAAAGGCAGGUACGUGUCCCCGGCUGAGUGUACCGUAAGAAAAAGCAUCGGCUAACUCCGUGUCAGCAGCCGCGGUAAUACGGAGGAUGCGAGCGUUAUCCGGAUUUAUUGGGUUUAAAGGGUGCGGAGGCGGUCUGUUAAGUCAGCGGUCAAAACCCGGGGCUCAACCACGGCCCCGCCGUUGAUACUGGCAGUCUAGAGAGGGAGAGAGGUAGGCGGAAUGCGCGGUGUAGCGGUGAAAUGCAUAGAGAUCGCGCAGAACUCCGAUUGCGAAGGCAGCAUGCCGGCUCCAUACUGACGCUGAGGCACGAAAGCGUGGGUAGCGAACAGGAUUAGAUACCCGUGUAGUC
rnacentral:rRNA from 1 species